rnacentral:snRNA from 12 species
ACAUUUAUCUGACAGGGAGGGAGUCUGAUAAUGAAGAUGGUUUCUGAGAGUGAGCCUCAUCACUAGUACUUCAGGUAGGCUGACUCCUGCAAUCCCCCAGAUCCAGGGAACUUGACUGUGAAAUUUGUGAUGUGGGAGAUUGUUUUGUUCUUCUUCUUG